UUUUGGAGUGUUUUGAGUGAAGCUAGCUUUACUUAUUUAUCAUAGUCACUUUUGGACACCACCAGUUGAAGUUCCAAGCUAAUCACUGCCUUAACAGUUUACAUCAUCGUUCUUCCCCCAGUACUGCAAUACUUUCACAUUUCUUUGAAUUACACAACUAAAUGAAAUACAAUGUUUAUGAUGCUGGAAUUAAAAAAUUGUCUAUAUAUAACACAUAGACUUAUCCUGAGCUCUGGUUGUGCAGUUCAAAUCUAACAGCUGCUCCUUGGAAACCCUGUAGGGCAGCUUUAUUCUGUCCUAGAGGUUCGCUGAGUCAGAAUCAGCAGUUCAAAUCUAACAGCUACUCCUUGGAAACCCUGUAGGGCAGCUUUAUUCUGUCCUAGAGGUUCGCUGAGUCAGAAUCGACCCGAAAGCAACAGGUAUAGACUUAUGCAGGUGACAGAUGUAAAACAUUAAACAUUCUUUUAGAAUCUGCUUUUAGGUUUUGGCCCUUCCAGCUGUGUUUCUCAUAUCUGUUUAGCCUGUUUUUGCUCCACAGUUCCAAAUGGCCCUAAAUGAGCAAUAUGGUUCUUUUUAUCUGCUUAUCAUUAAAAAAAAAAAAAAGGUGCCCUUCAGUCAAUUCCAACUCAUGGUGACUCGUGGUCAGAGUAGAUCUAUGCUCCACAGGAUUUGCAAUGGCUGCUUUUUCAAAAAUAGAUCUCCAGGCCUUUCUUCCAAGGCACCUUUGGGUGUACUAGGACCUCCAAACCUUUGGUUAGCAGCUGAGCACAUUAACUAUUUGUAUCACUCAGGCUACUUGUCAUUAAACCAAAACCCAUUGCCAUUCGAGUCAAUUCCAACUCGUAUCAACCAUAUAAGACAGAGUAGAACUGCCCCAUAGGCUUCCCAAGGAGCGGCUUGUGGAUUUGAACUGCCAAUCUUUUGGUUAGCAGUGGAAUUUUUGGUUCCAUGCUGAAACUAUGUAUAUUCCUUGAGUCUACCUGAACUCUCAAACUGUCCAUGGUAUUUGCCACUGCAGGAGAAACUCCCUGUUCUAAGCAUUUGAUUUAAUUCCUCUGCUUUGAGGUCUAUCUGAGUCUGAACCUCCUAAAUUUUAUUUUCUAUUAUGAGUCAGAAACGACUCGACAGCACUGGGUUUUUGCGUUGUAUUUCGGAAUCCCGUUAUUUUGUCUAGGACCUCUAAAAGCUCUAAAUUUUUACAAAAAUUCCCUACAUCCCAAGAAGCCUCCUGCAACUCUCCUCCAGCCUGUCUGGGUAGCCUCAAACUCUUAGCAGUACAAUGUGCUCCUAUCUCUUCAGACCUUUCUAUCUAAUAAACCAAACCAAACCAAAUCUAUCGCCGUCAAGUUGAUUCCGACUCAUAGCAACCCUAUAGGACAAAGCAAAACUGCCCCAUAGGUUUCCCAAGUCUGUAAAUCUUCAUGGAAGCAGACUGCCGCAUCUUUCUUCAGCAGAGUGGCCAGUGGGUUAAAACUGUCGACCUUUCGGUUAGCAGCCAAGGACUUAACCACUGUGGCACCAGGAUCCCGUCUAUCUACCACAUCAUUAAUUCUUGGAUGACAUUGACGUAAAAGGAAAAUAUCAUACUGAUUGAUAGAUUUUCCCAGAAAAGAUACAUAAAAUACAAUAAGGUAGCUGAAUUAAUUAGAAUGCAUUUAGCUGGGAGUAAUAGAAAACCCAAUUCAAUGGGUUAAACCAGUAGUUCUCAAACUUUGGGGCUUAUCAGAACCACUUGCAAUGCUUGUUAGAAUACAGAUUGCUGGGCCUCACCUGCAGCCUUUUUCCUUCAGCAGGUCUGGGGUGGGGGCUGAGAAUUUGCAUUUCUAACAAGUUCCCAGGUGAUGCUGAUGCUGCUGGUCUGGGGCUUUGAAAACCACUGGCUUUAAAAGUAAAGGAUUUAUUAUCUGAUGACAAGAAGCUCAGGGUUGGGUUAACUCAGCAGCUAAAUGACGUCGGCAGGGGCGCAGGAUUUUUUUCAUCUCCCUGCUAAUCCACCCUCAGGAUCCUAGCUUUUAUCUCUCAGACUUGUCCCGUCAUAAGACGGUCACAGCAUCUCCUCCCAUGAUGGUGACCAAUAAAGACAGUCUCUGUUUCUCGGGUGCCUUUUUUGGAGUGAUACAAAUGAUCCCAGAACCACCCUGCCCUCAGGAGACUCUGCCUCACUUCCAGAAGUGAAUCAUAUGCUCCUUUGGACAUGAAUCACUAUGAAACUCACUGCAGUUGAGUUGACUCUGACUCAUAGCAGCCCUGUAGGACAGAGCAGAACUGCCCCAUAGGGUUUCCAAGGAGACGCUGGUGGAUUCAAACUGCUGACCUUUUGUUUAGCAGCCGAGCUCUUAACCACUGCACCACCAAGGCUCAAUCACUAGUAAAGAAGAAUAGGAAUAUGACAGUAGGUUAACAGUUAAGGAGAUUCACCUUUUGGGGCUGGAGGGGAGGUAGCAUUCCGUGAAACACCUACCUGUCAGCUGAACAAAAGCUAGGUACUGGUAACAAGGAACAAGAAGAGAUGAUGUCUAAUCACUAGGCAGUGUCAGCUACAGCAGCAUAAAAUGAAAGUGUGAUCGAAACACUUUUUAAACACAAUUAUACCUUAAAUGCGUCAUCUCCAUACGUGGUGAGCAUAUUCCCAAAUUGACAGUGAUUUUGAAAAUGGGUUUAUAAUAGACUACAGGUAGAAAGGAGUCCCUGGGUGGUGCAAAUAUUUAACCGCUCAACUACUAGCUGAAAUGUUGGUGGUUCGAACACACCAAGAGGCUCUUGGAAGACAGGUCUAGGAACCUGCUUCUGAAAGGUCAUAGCCUUGAAAACCCUAUGGAGCAGUUCUACUCUGCACACAUAAGGUCGCAUGAGUGGGAAUCAACUUGACAACAACUAAUAACAGCAACAGUUAGAAUAAAACUAAUAAUUUAUAUUUAUCAAAAACACAAUAGUGAUAUUGGCCUAAUUCACAUAAUUGUUAAUUUCAAGACCCUGGGAAUAAUUCUACCACUAUGUUCUUUACAUGUGUUUGUUUUUGGUAUUGAAUUCUGUUCAACAGUGGAAGCUGUUUUAUAAAAGAUCAAGAUGCGAAGGAUCGGAAAAUUGGACUUUUGAAGAUACAUUACAGAGCUAGGACUACUUAGGCUAGAAAAGCAAAAUCUAAAGUAUGAUUUUGUAUCAUCUCCAGUUAUUUCAGAGGCUAUUAUAAGAAAAAGAUUGGUCAUGCUGAGUGCAGCACAACUAGAUGGUGCCUGGCUACCACCUCUGACUGCUCUGACAGGGAUCAUAAUAGAGGGUCCCUGACAGAGCUGGAUAAAAAUAUAGAAUAAAAUUCUAACUCGCACACACACACACAAAGACCAGAUUUACUGCUCUGACAGAGACUGAAGAAACCCUGAGAGUAUGACUCGAGACACCCUUUUAACUCAGUACUGAAGUUACUCCUGAGAUUUACCCUUUGGCCAAAGAUUGGACAUACCUAUAAAACAAAAUGAGACUAAAGGGGUACACCAGCCCAGGGGCAAGGAAGAGAAGGCAGGAGGGGACAAGAAAGUUGAAAAUGGGAAACCAGGGUCAAGAAGGGGAGAGUGUUGACACGUCAUGGGGUUGGUAACUAAUGUCACAAAACAAUAUGUGUAUUAAUUGUUUAAUGAGAAACUAAUUUGCUUUGGAAGCCUUCAUCUAAAGCACAAUUUGAAAAAAAAGAUUGGUCAGCUGAGCUUCUCAAAAGAAAAUACAUCCAGAAAAAGAGACAAAAUCCAGUGAGAAAUGUAUUAUUUUACACAAGGAAUAAUUUGGUAAUAAUGAGGGAUAUUAAACAUCAACAUUGAUUUUGAAAGAAUUGUAGAUCUCAUUGUUGGAGGCCUUAAAGAAGAGGAGUUUGCAGCCCUCUUUCUUCAAGGUGAUGAGAGAAUAUUUAGCUAGUCCUUUAUACACUCAACCAACACUUCCUACCAGAACCAUCACAUUUUUACAACUUGGAAAUUUGAGGACAUUCACAUUCCCAUUUCCUGUCUUUUUCCCUCAUGUUUAUUACUUAUAUUAUUCUUAUUUUUAUACUGUCAAGGUAAAAACAAACAACCCACCACCAACAAAAACAAAACCAUUGCAUUUCUUCUGUCGCAUAAUUCACGAUUGUUUAGUAUUCAUUCUCUAUUUAAAUUGAUUCAUUAUGUUCUGGUCCUUUGAACAUGCCUUACUUUUGACCUACUUAUUAAAGAAGACCAGUGUGGAUUUUGUUACUAAAAGCAAACCAAAACACCUAACAUUUUUUUCAAGAAACUUUUAUACAUGCUAUAUUCCCUAAGCCCCUUCAUGUUCGAGAGUAUCUGCCAGUUGCCUUUCUAGAGGAGCACCAAAUUGUUUGGCUAUAAUGCCCUUAGGUUUCAUGUUCUUCUCUUAACCACCUGAUAGACAUUCUUCCAUUGCUUUCUGGCAUUGAAUGAACUUGUAUAAAAAUCUUAGCUAACCUAAUUUCUUUCUCUUGUAUUAGAUUUUCCUUUCUGCUCAGUUUCCUGACAAAUUCUGCCUUUAUCCUUUAAGUUCAGUAGGUGAACCAGGAUACACCUCAGUUUUAAGCAUUUUGUUUCAAAUAUUCUUGACAGAUGUGCUGUUUGUAUUUGCAGAUGCAGAUUUCUUUAUUUCUAAAAAUUUUCUUGUAUUAUAUCUUUGAAUAUUUUUAAUUGAGUCCUCUACAUUAGGGACAGCAUUACCCUUAAUUAGAUGGGCUGUCCCUAACUUUAUUUCUAUAUAUUUUGCCUUCUGUCUAAAUGCCUUAAAAUCUUUAUCCUUUUCACCUGUAUUCACUAUGAUUAGUUGAAGUUUCCUCUAUAUCAGUAAUUCAAACUUCAUCUGCAACCUUCAGAAACAUGUAUUGUUUCUAAUUUACUUAUUAAUUAAUGCUGUAUCAAUGUUGCUUUGACCCCUGAUUUGUUUCCUUUAGGCCUAGGUUGAUCUAUUUCAUAUCAUUCUGAUUUUUGUUUACCUUAUUUUGAGCUCCUAUUCCAGAGAUUUUUCUGAAUAUUUCCUGAGUUCAGAUCAGUUUGGGGGAAUUUUGUUCAUUUAUAUUUUCUUCUUGACUGACUUCUUUGUCUUUUACAUAUUAUAUUUCUGUUUGGGAGUGUUGGGUUUAUGUUUGUGUAUUGUCCAUGUAAUUUCUUCUUGUCUUGCUCAAAAUAGAAUCUCUUCCCGGGCCUUCAAUAUACUCCUAUAUAUUGUGGGUACUUUGAGUUUCCUUGGUCAUCUUAUCUAAGACAUGUUUGUUUGAGAGCUUGGUGUAUUGUGUUUUACACUUUCUCUGUAUGCUGAGUACAUAAUGGGAAGACAUAGUUAGCUCAGGCAAGAUGCAUUUCUGCUCCAACUAUGGAGACUAGCUGAAAAAUCCUAAAAUAGGGUUAAUUUCACCUGGUUUAAAGGUGUUUCUAAUGCCUAGUUUUAAUGCCUAUGGAGAGACACCCUCAGAUGUCAACUCUUUCACCCAACUCGGUGUAUAGCCCUGGAGCCUUCACUUCUACCGGUGUCUCUACCCCAUGCAGGGAUGGAUUAUUCAACAGGUAAGGUAAGCACAGUGCUUACCUUGCUUACCAGAUCAUCUGUAGUGAACAAUUUCACUUUUUUUUUUUUUUAACCACACCAAAGGCUUUGCUCCUAUGUGUGGCUGGUGUCUGUCCCUCUCCCAACCCCCCAGCACCUUCCUACAGAAUCAAAGCCUAUUUUCAAAUUUAUAAUCCCUGACCAGGUCAGAUGACCCAGUGAGCAAGGUAAGCAUGGGCUUACAUUUGCUUACUUACUAAUCUGUAGUGAACAAUUUCACAUCUUUGGUGGGGUAAAAACCAUGUGAAAUUAUUCACUACAGAUGAUUUGGUAAGCAAGGUAAGCACUCUGCUUACUUUGCUUAUUGGAUAAUCCACCCUAACAUCACGUAUAUUCCCACUGUACCUUUUUCUCCCCAGCAUCUCUUUCCUCUAUUGUUCAGUCACUCACUUUAGAAAGGGGGAGUUUGCUGUCAUAUUGUGGGGAUUGCAACCAUUGUCACAAAACAAUAUGCUCAUAAAUUUUUGAAUGAGAAAUUAACUCAAACUGUAAACUUUCACCUAAAACACAAAAGAAAAGAAAAAACACAACAGAUUGCCCUAUACAACCUGUUCCCUAUCUACCUAACCAAACUCAGCUUCUACCUCUUCUAUCUCUCUAUCCCAUGGGCCCUAAUAUUGGUAGCAGUUGUACCGAACUUGUCACCAAAUUUUACAUCUCUUACUGACUUUACACCUUUGCAUAUAAAUUCCCCUUUGGUAGAGUGAUGACACCUCCUUCUUUGUCUAGAAAUCUGUACCCAAUCAUCAAGACAAACAUCGUCCCUUGUAUUAAUUGGGAUAGAAUAGGUAAUGCUGCAGUGAUAGCCAACCCCUAAUUCACAGAGGCUUAUUGCAACUGAAGUUCAUGUCUCAUUCACAAAAACAUGUCCAAUGUGAGUUGGCCAAGGGGAAGGCACGAGGCGGUUUAAGCUUAUUGCAGUUACCAGAGACCCAGGCUGAUGGAGGCACCAUCCUUUGCUUCUAUGAUCACUGCAGCACUGAAAAGGAAGCAUGGCAAAUUGCCCGCUGACUCUUAAAAUUUUUGCUUAGGGAACACUGCACCAGUACUGUGUGUAGACGUAGUAUUUUGAAGGCCCUGGGAAUUGUGUCAAAUUUGCCACGUACAGACAGUGUAGCAUUUGACAUGUAAAGGCUCACCAGAACUCAAGCAGCUAAUCAAAGAUCAGUGCUUGCUGGCUUUGCCAGUGACAACUCCCUUGGCCUUGAGCCACUUCAAACUUCUGGGGAAUUUUCGUCUCCUCCUCAGGAUGGGGAACUUACUCCUAGAACAAGAGACAUCCACAUUGCAGCUAACAAAAGAAUGGUUUAUUAUUGCCAGGCUUUGCCUCUUUAAUGCUCUCAUUCUCUGCUACAGGUCAUCAGAGCCACAGCUAGCUUGAAUGCUAACAAGGUAGAAUGGUUUUGAGGAUGAAAACAAUGGCUUUCUGACUGAUGGCCUUGAAGGAAAAAAGAAUCCUUUUUUGUGUAUCAUUUGCCAUCCAUGCAACACAAGCACUUAUUUUUGGUACUUUUUUUUUUUUUCUUUUCAUAAAAUUGCUGAUGCCAAAGCUUUGUAUUAAAAUAAAUAAUAAUAAUUUUUUGAAAAUUCCACUUAGAACUGGGACAUGUCGGCUCUGUUCAUUUUUCAUUGACCAAAGCUGAUUCCAUGGCUACAUCUAACUUCAAAGGGGACAGAAAAGAAAUCUCUCCAUGUGUUAAAAAAAAAAAAAAAAAUUGCCGUCAAGUCAAUUCUGACUCAUAGUGACCCUACUGGGUAGAGUAGAACUUCCUCAUAGGGUUUCCAAGGAGUGGCUUGUGGAUUCAAACUGCCAAACUUUUGGUUAGCAGCUGAGCUCUUAAUCACUCCACCACCAGGGCUCCAUGCGUUAGAAGGUUAAAAACCAGAAAUAGUUGGUAAAUGGUUAUAAUGACGACAAUGCAACCUAUUUUUCCACUCAGAGAGCACUAUUUUAUAUAAGGAUGGUCAGGAAAGGCCUCUCUGAGAAGGUGACCCUUGAGCAGAGCCCUGAGGGAGCUGCCAUGUGAAUACUCAGAGGAAAGCAUCCUAGGCUUAGUAACCAGCAAGUGCAAAGGCUCUGGGGAAGAAGCAUUCCUAACACAUUAGAGAAAAAAAGGAAGAAGGCAAAACACUCAGAUCCUGCACUACCAUUCCACUGUUUACAGUUCACUAUUUAAAGCUCCCAUGCUUAAGUGAAAACCAGUUAUUAAAAAAUAAUCUGUCAGAAUUUUGCCACUUAAAUGUAAUUAUGAAGAGCUGUCAUUUACCACCUAAUACAAAGAAGAGAAUCCUCACAACUGGACCAAUAAGUAACAUCAUGAUAAAUGGAGAAAAUAUUGAAGUUGUCAAGGAUUUCAUUUUACUUGGAUUCAUGGUCAACACACAUGGAAAAAACAGUCAAGAAACCAAACAACUUGUUGCACUGGGCAAAUCUGCUGCAAAAGACCCCUUUAAAAAGUGUUAAAAGCAAAGGUGUGGCUUUGCGUACUAAGAUGCACCUGACCCAAGCCAUGGGGUUUUCAAUCAUCUCAUAUGCGUGCAAAAGCUGGACAGUGAAUAAGGAAGACUGAAGAAGAAUUGAUGCCUUUGAAUUAUGGUGUUGGAGAAGAAUAUUGAAUACACCAUGGACUGCCAAAAGAACAAACAAAUCUGUCUUGGAAGAAUUACAGCCAGAAUGCUCAUUAGAAGGGAGGAUGGUAAGACUUCAUCUCAUGCACUUUGGACAUGUUAUGAGGAGGGACCAGUCCCUGGAGAAGGACAUCAUGCCUGGACAAGUAGAAGUUCAGUGAAAAAGAGGAAGACCUUCAACGAGAUGGAUUGGCACAGUGGCUGCAACAAUCGGCUCAAGCAUAGAUGAUUGUGAGGGUGGUACAGGACAGGACAGUGUUUCACUCUGUGGUACAUGGGGUCGCUUUGAGUCAGAACUGACUCUAGGGCCCCUGAAAACAACAACACACAGAGAAGGAAUGGGAGAGGGAGAAGGGCAGCAUUAAGCAAACAAACAGAAACUUCCCUUGACUUUGAAAGUUUUUCCCUCUGGAGUGCAGAUAUAUUCCAUAAGGGAGGUCAGGACAUAGGCUGGACAUGCGUGUAGACAACAUGUCUUCUAGGAGAGGGUACAUGUGAUGCACCAUGUACAUGGGAACUGCUGUAAGUCAAGAACUGGGCUAUAGCCAAGUGAUUGACACCCAGGUUUUUGUGUCUCUCCAGCUGUUUCAACAAAGCCUUGGUUUCCUGAGUGACCCAAAACUGCCACAGAAGCUACAGCUGACAGUACAAUUGACUCUGUUCAUCAGGGGUGGAUUAUCCAAUAGGCAAGGAAAUCCAUGGCUGAAAUGAGUUGAGGCCCAAGCUGACAAGAUCUCGAUGCUAAUGUACCCAUCACACCACAUUUAAGCUACAAAUCGGAGCACAGAGGCUGACAAUGGAACGGAUUGUUUGGAAUCUGGAGUCUAUUGAACAAUUCUGCACUUUGCGUGGCCACAGUUCUUGGUUGCCCUCCAACUGUGAGAUACCGUGAUUUCCCAUACAUGAAUUGAAACAAACCAACUUGUUCAUAAAAUGAUCAUCUAGAGUUUCCCACUGUCUUUGAGGACUUUUUCUCCAUGCCUUUUAGACUCGAGACAACUGUGAUGGCUAUGCUGGUGGGAAAAUUACGGUCUGCAAAGGAAAAGAACUUCCGGAAGCACCGCCGAAGCCUGUUCAGCAUCAUAGCGACAUGCAAGCCUCCACUGACAGAUGGUGGCUGCUGUGCGUGAACUGCACUGGCUGGGAAUUGAACCCCGGGUCUCCAGCAUGAAAGGCAAGAAUCCUACCACGGAGCCACCAGGGCUCCCGUUCUCCACCUGUAUUUUACCCUCUUGUUUUCACUUUUCUCUAGCACACUCAUUUGUUCUUGCUGCCUCUGGCUCUUUGGUAUGCUAUCCUCUUUGUCUGAAACGCGCUUCACUUCCCCUCUGACCAGGUGAUUCCCACAGAGCCUUCAAAGCUUCUCUCAAACAUUACUUCCUCAACAGAUUUUUUUUUUUUCUGCCCCCUCUGAGGUUAGGGCAAAUUCCCCCUUUUUAUGAUGUCAUAGUCCCAGGUACUUCUCCUUCAAUUGUUAUAAAAUAAAGUAAAUAUUUUUAAACACACUGAUGUAAUUCUAUGCUUUACAUUUCCUGGCAUAUGGCCUUCCCCUCCUCUGCCUGGGCGGCCAUCUGCCCUAGGUGGGGUUGAAAGGAGGGUGACCGGCAAGAAUGCAAAGACAAAGGUUUAUUCACACAUGUAAGGAAAAGCAGUUUCUGGCAUGCCCAUUAGGAUAUUUGAGUUCAGAGAACCACACAAGGCCUGAAGCCUAAGCCUUGUGGAAAGAGAAAAUAACUUCCCAAGUUCAAUUAACUCCCCCUGGACAUACUCAAAACUCAUUGUGGGGUUUUGUAACUAAGGAAGAUUCUGACUAAACAGAAGAAGAAAGGAGGCUAACCCUUCAGGCCCCGCUAAAUCGUGGAACAGAGAAAGCAAAGCAAAAUGAGAUAAAAGGCAAUAGUGUACCAGGGUACCUGUUACUGCCUCCAACCUGGGCCUCCUCUUCAAGGCUGGCAAAAUGAGGGAGGAGUGGAGUGCGGUUGUUCUGCAAAAAUCUAGGAAGUUUGAGGCUAAUCUGUCCAGGUCAGAGGUUUUGGGCCAUGCUCCUUGCUAAGGACUUAGGGAGUGGACGGCCUUGUUGGCUGUCACUGGUGUUAACAGAUCCGUCGUGACUGCACAGCACACUCAGGUCGUGUACAUUUAAACGCAACCUCUUAGUUGUCUGUGGCGUGGAAAACAUCAAGACGUCCUCACAGGUCUGUGACUGGAAAGGAAGGCAGCUGAGAACAUUCCAGAGGGCAUCUGUCUGGUGCAAAUUGCCUGGACAAGGAGCCCAAUAGAGCUCACAGACAAAUUUCGGGGCAGGGGAGGACUGUGGGCCAGUGAGGAGUCUCUGGGUGGUGCAAAUGAUUGACAGGUUUUGCUGCUAACCAAAAACCAAAGGUUUGAGUCCACUCUCAGGUGCCUCAGGAGAAAGGCUUCGUGAUCUACUUAAAAAAAAUCAGCCACCGAAAACCCUAUGAGGCACAGUUCUACCCUGACAUACGUGGGUCGCCGUGAGUCAGAGUCAACUCGAUGGCAACUGGUACGGGCCAGCGAGGUGAGACCCAGUAAGUGAAGAGAAUGGCUGGUGUUUUGGGGUGUCUUAGUCAUCUAGUGCUGCUAUAACAGGAAUACUACAAGUAGACAGCUAAAGUUUAUUUCUUCACGGUGAAGUAGGCUAAAAGUCCAAAUUUGGGGUGUCAGCUCCAGGGGAAGGCUUUCUGUCUUUGUCAGCCUUCUCAUCAAACUUCCCCUGGACUAGGAGCUUCUCUGUGCAGGAACCCCAGGUCUAAAGGACACACUCUGCUCCUGGCACUGCUUUCUUGGUGAUGUGAGGUCCCCAACUCUCUGCUUGCUUCCCUUUCCUUUUAUCUCUUGAGAGAUAAAAGGUGGUGCAGGCCACACCCCAGGGAAACUCCCUCCACAUUGGAUCAGGGAGGUGACCUGACUAAGGGUGGUGUUACAAUCCCACCCUAAUCCUCUUAACAUGAGAUUACAAUCACAAAAUGCAGGACCACCACAGAAUACUGGGAAUCGUGGCCUAGCCAAGUUGAUACACACAUUUUUGGGGGACACAAUUCAAUCCAUGAUACCGGGUGAUUGCCUGAGGCAAAAGGAACCAGUUGUUCACCCUUCAUACACUGUCGUGUGAAGGCAGGAAAGCAUCAGGAUGGGUCGUAUGGGGUGGUUAGAACGGAGGCCCAGCAAACUGGGAGGAUGGUGUGCACUUUAGGCCCUGAAUAGAGAGAAACAUAGGAACCCUACAGGAUAGAGUAAAACUGCCCCACAGGGUUUCCAAGUGGUGGCUGGUAAAUUCGAACUGCCAACUUUUGGUCAGCAGCUGAGCUCUUAACCAUUGAGUAGGCACCUGUUAGUGGUUUGUCCAUUCAUAACAGUAGGCUUUGUCAUGAAGCAAAUCUAUAUUUGAAUCCUAGACCCAUCACAUACAAAUUGCAUAACCCUGGGUAUGUUAUGAAAACUCAGUGGGUACUUUAUAAAGUUUCUGUUUUCUUAUUGGUAAAAUCUCAUUUUGUUAGUUUGAAAAGUCAGUGAGUGAGAACAAGUAAAGCAGUGAGAACAGUGCCUAUCACGUAGAGAACAUUCACCAAGACUUCUGUCCUUGAUAUUUUUAGAAUGUAAGUUUCACGGUGGCAAAACCACAUAUGUCUUCACACCGGGGUAUGUCCAGAGCUAGUAUGAUGCCAUCCAUUUAAAACAAACAAACAAGAAAAACCAUUGCUGUCAAGUUGAUUCUGACUCAUAGUGACCCUAUAGGAUGGAGUAGAACUGCCCAAUAGAGUUUCCGAGGAGCACCUGGUGGAUUUGAACUGCCAACCUUUUAGUGAGCAGCCGUAACUCUUAAGUACUAUGCCACUUAACCACUUAACCACUGUUGGUUUCUGCCAUAUAUUUAGUAGGGGAUUAAGAAGUAUUUGUGGUACCAAUGGAUAAAUAAAUAAAUGUAAAGCUUUCAGCUGGCACAGGGGGGCAGUUUUUACAGAUGCUAUAUGCCUGAGGUAAUAGCAAGAAAGAAUAACAGCAACAACAAAAAGCCAACAGAACCAUUACCAAGAAGGUAACUCAUCACAACAUAAAAUAAAUAUAGAUGGGUUAAAUGUCUCUAAUAAAAGACAACGACCCUGUUAUUAAACUUUACAUGUACACAGAGGAUGCAUCAUGAAAGAAAAUGACACAGAAAAUAUAAAAACAAACUGAUGAACAAAGAAAUAUAAGACCAAAAAAACUCGAAAAGAACCCUAAAAAGCAAUAUUAGUAUCCGACAACUGGAAUUUAAGAAAAAUUAAAAAAUAACUAGGGAUAAAGUGGGCUGCCUUUAUUGAUUUUAAAAAGUACAAUUCAUUCUGAGAAUAUGAUAGCCAGGAAAAUUUAUGAGCAAAUAACAUAGCGUCAAAACGUAUCAAAUAAAGACUUAGAAGUACAAGAAGAAAUUGGCAAAGCACCAUUCUAGUAGGAUAUUUUAAUUAUUUCCCCGUUUUUUAUAUACAUGAAGCAGAAAAAAAAUAUUAAAGAGAAGAAUUAAAUAACACAGUAAGGUUUGUUUACUCAAUAUCGAUAUGAAAUAUAUUAAUUUCAAAAGUUCAUGGUAUAUUGAAACACUGGUUAUAGCCUGUAUCUCAAAACAAAAACAAUAACAAAAACAGGAAAUUCCACAGCCAUAUUUUUUGACAACAGCAAUAAAAUUAAAGCAAUAACAAAAAGUCCAACACAAAAGCUAAAGCCAUGUGGAAAGUAAAAAUACCACCUAAAUAAUCCUUGAGUUACAGAGAAAAUUAAACCUGAAUGUCAUUUAUCAGUAAGUAGGAAAGGAUGCAAAUAAACUAUCCCAUUCCAUGAUAGAAGCAAAACAGCAACAAUAAUGAUUUGGAAAUGAAUAGGGGUGAUUGUUGUACAACACGAUGAACAUAACAUGGCUAGUACAUGUAAAAAAUGCUGAACUGGCAAAUGUUAUAUAAAUAUUACCACAAUAAAACAAUAAAAAACAAAAAACUCUGCAACAAUAGGCAUAAUGAACCCUAAGGAAAGUGUAAGUAAGAAAUUAAUAAUGGUACAGCAGUAGAUAAAGAAAACAACAAUCCUCACAACUGAACCAAUAAGCAACAUCAGGAUAAACAAAGAAAAGACUGAGGUUGUCAAGGAUUUCAUUUUACUUGGAUCCACAAUCAACACCCGUGGAAACAGUGGUCAAGAAAUGAAGAGACACAUCGCAUUGCGCAAAUCUGCUGCAAAAGCCCUCUUUAAGGUGUUGAAAAGCAAAGAUGUCACUUUGAGGGUUAAAGUGUGCCUAACCCAAGUCAUGAUAUUUUCAAUGGCUUCAUAUGCAUGCAAAAGCUGGACAAUGAGUAAGGAAGACCGAAGAAGAAUCGAUGCCUUUGGAUUAUGGCAUUGAAGUAGAAUAUUGAACAUACCAUGGACUGCCAGAAGAACAAACAAAUCUGUCUUCAAAGAAGUGCAGCCAGAAUGCUCCUUAGAAGUAAGAAUGGUGAGACUUUGUGUCACAUUCCUUGACCAUACUAGGAGGGACCAUCUCUGGAGAAGGACAUCAUGCUUGGUAAAGUAGAGCAUCGGUGAAAGAGAGGAAGACCCUCAACGAGAUGGAUUGACACAGUGGCUGCAGCAAUGGGCUCAAGCAUAACAACAAUUGUGAGGAUGGCGCCAGACUGGGCGAUGUUUCCUUCUGCUGUACAUACGAAUAGGACUAUGAGUCGGAACUGACUGGGCGGCACCGAACAACAACAUUUUUGAAAAUGUCAGUUAGACAGAUCGACCCUCCUGGAUAUAUUUUGUAAGAUUUUUAAGUUUCCAUUUGUUUGUUUGUCUGUUCAUUUUUGCUUUUAAAUCUGAGAGAUUUCCUUGUCUUUACCCUCUAGCUACGUGAUCUCCACAGUGGAAGAGACUACUCCCUCAGAGAGCCAACUCAGUGUUCCAGUUGAUUUUUUAGGCUGUCAGUUUAAUUCUAAUCACCAAUACCUCUUCUCUUUCUGUGAGCGCUAUUCUUCUCUUUCCCUCCCUCUGCCCUUCUCCUCUCCUAUUCCCUCCCCUUCCUCCUCCUUCUAAUUGUAGCCAAUUCUGAUUUUAUGGGGGCAAUUUCCUCUCUAAUCUCAGAAUCAAACUGGGGUUUUUAUUAUGAUUAUUAUUAUUUCUGCUUCCUCUCAGGUGAGCUGUUUUAUUUGCUCGUCAUUAUCGUUAUCUUUCAGGCUGGUAUUUCCCUACUGUCUCUGGUGGCCCUGGGUUUUGGUUCAUUUUUAUGAAUGAAGGACUGGGUUGAUUUACGUAGGUGGUGAUUGUGGGCUUCCUUGGCAGUUACGCCCAUCUGUUUCCUGUGCAAGACUCUUCCUUGAAAGGCUAACUACAGGCCCCAUAUAAGUGGGUGAGGCACCAGGAGCAGGAAGGGCAGGCAGGCAGUCUGGGCAGCUCCUCCUUCUCCACGCCCCUGCCGGGCCACUUGCCAAACUGGGGAGGCUUUUUCCAUGAGAGUUACCAAGCCCAGUACAGAGGUUUCCUACAUUCUUUGGUUCAGGAUGCCCCUAUUGUCUCAAGAGUUUUUUUUUUUUUUCAUAGCACCAGCAGGCCAAAAGGCUUUCUUAGCAGUUUUGUUUGAGUAUUUACGUCCAAGCAACUUAGUAACUAUUUAUGUUCUAACAACGUAGUAGCUGUUCGAAAAACUAAGACAAAUAGAUGUAAUUUUUUUUCCCUUUUAUUCUUACAUAACUGUCAUUCUAUCCUAGCAGAAUGUUUGUGUUUAUUGGGAACUGCAGAAUUUCUCAGACGGAAUCAGAUUCUAGACCUCCACUCAGAUUUUUUGUUCCACGUUGAUUUUUUGUGCAAUGCUUUUUUUUUUUUUUUUGAUAGCAAUCCCUGAAAACACCACUUUGCAAAGAUUUGACACCAUGAAAAGGAAUAUAAUGCAAUCUAAUGUUGAAACUGUGAACUGCCCAGAGCCAGCGUUCCCUGUGGUGUCUGAUAGAUGUCCAAGAUUGCUACGUUUCCCUUAAAAUUUAAAAAAAACUGCACACUGCACCGAUGAGUUUUCCACAGCAUCCUUGGGCACCUCAUUACAGUUCAGAGUCACAGCUACCACAAUUUUCUCUUGGUGGCCUUGCUUUUCUUUCCUCCCGUGUUGACUAGUGUGAAAGACUAGAGUUACUGCAAGCCCUACUUUGCUUUUUUUAGGUCUCAAAAAAAAAUCUCACUUGGAAAUGUAUCCACUUUCUUUAGAAAGUGGUGUUUGGCCUUUAUCUUUGGGGAAAAGUUUCCUCUGACAACCAUUUAAAAACUCAAUUUAGAGGAUCAGUGACAGGAGUCUAAUUGAUCCAGAAGCUUCAAAUCUUGUUAUUUAAUUAAUCAUCCUGAUGUUUGGCUCAUGGCAAACUCUUUAUACUUCUUGACUUUAAGCUUGGAGCUUCUCCCAGGCUCACUCAGGAAGGAGCUUUCAACAUUUCUAUUCCACCACUGUUCCCAUUUUUUUUUUUCUUUUCCUACACUUUCAUGUUUUUAUUUUGAAAUGUAUAUAAUUUUUAAAAAUAGAAACUUGGGAAAUAAGAACGAUAGAGCCAUCUGCUCGGUCUGCCACUUUGAAUUCUCUCAAGAUUCUAAUUGGACCGGGCGGCAAUUUAAUUUUAAAACUUUAUGUGAACCGGAACAGUGGAUUUUGCAUUAUAUUGUAUCUUUUUGUACUCCAAAUUUUGCUCUGUCAGCUACUAUUUAGUUCUACAUGCGUUCCAAAGCUUGAGAAAUAGUCACGCUUUCAUAAUUUCUACAUUUUUAAGUCAGGUUUUUUUGAGGUUCGAAGUUAGCAAAUAAUGCAAUAUAUUUAGGAGUCAGUGAGAAUAGGCAUGGAAAAUAACUUUUUUAUGAGGCAAAGAAGACUAAAUCAGAACUGCGGAAAGUAGAUUCCUGUUAAAAUGAGCUCAUUUUCAAAGUGAAAGUGAAACAACAACAAGGACCACAAACACUCAUCCAUCUUACAAAGUAGCUGAACCCUACCUUUGGGAAAAAGCAGUUAGAUUCAUUAGUCAAGGCCAGACCAGGGCUAGAUAACCUUGAAAAGUCAAAACCUAACACAUAUCGGAAACCUUGAGAGAAGUUUAAGAAAGAUACAAUAGAAAUCCCUUAAAUUAUUGCAAUAGGACUCAGAACACGAAGAGGCUAUAAGGACACACAGCGCGGAUUUUCCUAGCUGUUGCUUGGUAGAACAUUUACAAAUUGUUGACAAUGUUACACUGUAGCAUUGUAUAUAUGUCUCUCCGAAAUAUAAGACAUUUUACCACUGGAUAGGAGAUAUAUAUGUAUUUUUUUAUUUCCUCAUGCUAAUAUUUCACAGAAACAAGAUAUUAUUAUAGUCCCUAUUUUAUGUGUACAGUCACCCCUAUGAUGGAAUUUGCUGAGUGGUCGGGCCCCUGGCAGCUCACCACCCCCUCAACCUUCAUCUCUCUGCUCUCUGCCUCCUACUUCCUGCCUGCUUGCCUUGCCAAGGCUUUUGGCUUAUUCUGGAUCCUGCAGCUGCCUCUGGUUUGUCUGACCUCUAAUUCUUGGGACCUGAGCCAGCAGCGUACCUGCCAAUCUUCGGAUUUGUCCAUCUUCACAGCCUGUAAGCAAGUGUCCUGCUCUCCGACCUGCUGACCUUGGGUUGGGCAGCCCCUGGAGCUGCGUGAGUCAGAAGCCUCUAUCCUGACCCUCAGACUUGGGAUGUUCCAGCCUCGACAAUCGAGUGAGCUAUUUCCUUGAUAUAAAUCUCUCUCUCUCUCUUUCUAUAUAUGUAUUUAUAUGCUUUACUGGUUUUGUUUCUCUAGAGAACUCAGUCUAAGACAUAUAUAUAUGUCAUAAAUUAUAUAUAUUAUAAAAUCGUAUAAUUUUCAUUUACUGAGAUUUACCUGGAAAGGACUGAGUGAGCUGAAAAUUUGGGACUGUAAUGCAUGACAUUUAACCCACUGCAAAGAAUAAUUUCUGUCAUAUAAUGAAUUAGUUGUAAAUGUUUGAAACAGGUAUGAGUUUUUUUUUUUUUUUUUCUCCAAGUACUCUACUGUUUAAGCCACUAGAAGGCUGGGAUACCCCAGUUUGUAGGAAAUCCCAUAUGCAUCAGAGUUUCUCCCUGCCCUUGGCGUAAUGGGAAAGAAAAUGGAAAAUUCAAGGCUGGGGCAAAAUAAGAUUUCAAUACAGUUAUCUGAGAAAUCUAUCUGGAAACCAAAUUCGAGAAUUUUUAUGGUUAGUUCAAACGGUACAUGUAUAUGUUUGUACUCCCCUCCAGGAAGGGGGCAGGAAGGUAAAUAAAGUGGCCAGUUAGAUUGGUAGCCACCAAUUGAAAAGAUAGAUAGAAAACUGAAAUCAAACCAGUCAUUCGAGUUCUGAUUAUUUGUCUUGGGAUGGAAGGUGUUUUUGUCAUAUAAGUGGAUAUAAGAGCAACUGGUAGGAAACAUGUAUUGACGAUAAAGAAAUUUAUUUUAUGGAAGACUUGUUAAAGAAGCCAGCUAUUUUACUCCAACCACUGGGCAAUUUGGUUGUCCAUCCCAGCUUUACCAUGAAUUAGAUAUGCUAUCUCAAACCAGCCAACUAGUCUCUAGGCCUCAGUUUUCUCAGCUGUAAAUGAUAUUUGGACAGGGUAACUGUAUAGAUCUCUUUUGGUGGCCUGUCUUAGUUAUCUAGUGCUGCUAUAACAGAAAUGCCAUAAGUGAUGGCUUCAACAAACCGAAGUUUAUUCUCUCACAGUCUGGUAGGCUAGAAGUCCAAAUUCAGGGCAUCAUCUCCAAGGGAAGUCUUUCUCUCUGUCAGCUCUGGAGGAAGGUCCUUGUCAUCAAUCUUCCCUUGGUCUAGGAAUUUCUCGGGCACAGGGACCCUGGGUCCAAUGGACGUGCUCUGCUGCUUUCUUGGUGGUUUGAGGUCCCCCUCCCUCUCUCUACUUGCUUCUUUCUUUUAUAUCACAAAAGAGAUGGGCUUAAAUUGUAGAUUAAUCUUGUAGAUUGAGUUUACAUAACUGCCUAUAAUCCCAUCUCAUUAACAUCAUAGAGAUAGGAUUAUGACACAUAGGAAAAUCACAUAAGAUGACAAAGUGGUGGACAAUCACACAAUACUGGGAAUCAUGGCCUAGCCAAAGGGACAAAUAUUUUGGGGGGACACAAUUCAAUCCAUGAAAUGGCCAAAACCUGUGACUUCACGAUCCUAUGAAGAGCUCAGUUGCUGUUCCCAUGUUGUCAGAUGUAACAAACCAGACUUAGAAAAAGUUAGAAGUGAGUACUCUUGACUCUUUUCUACUUUGUCUUCACAAACAUUACUUCCUCCUUGUUCUUUUCCCAUUCUCGUUGGCGAGGCAUUCCCAGUUUCUUUUUACUUUCUGUUCUUUUCAGAUAUUGCUAUUUCCCUGGGUUCCAUUCCCAAACUUCUUUUUCCCCCUUACCAUGUAUAAACACAAAACUGAACCCAUUACCGUUGAGUUGAUUCCAACCCAUAGGAACCCUAAAGGACAGAGUAGAACCGCCCCAUAGGACUUUCAGGGAGCAUCUGGUGGAUUUGAACUGCCAACCUUCUGGUUAGCAGCCUGAUCUCUUAACCACUGUGCCAUCAGGGCUCCCCCAUACCCUAUAUACAAUUUGGAGAAUGAGAGCUCAUCCAUAUACAUGGAUUUAACCAUCAAAUUGUUAUUAUUAGUUGAGACUUCUUUCUGGAACUUAGGACUCAGAUAUUCAACCUCUAUAGACAUCUUUUCUUCAAUGUCCGGUAAGCGUCUCUAACUUAGUAUGUCCAAAGCCGAAUUAUCUCUUGCCCUGCAUUGAUGUCUUCGCAAUAGAAUACUAACUGAUUUCCUUCCUUACAAAGUAACCCCCUCCAAUCCAUCUUCCAUCCUGUCAGCUGAAUGACCCUCCUAAAACCUAAAUCUAAUCAUGUUUCUCUCAGGUUUUAAAAAUCUUUCAUUUCCCCAUCCCAUUCAGAAUUCAUUUGAAACCUCUUUGCAGCUGUUUACCGGCAAGCGUUGGCCUGCCUCUCAAGUCUUUAUUUUCUGCCAACUGACUCCUACAAACACAGAAGACCACUUGUGUUCCUCUAAGUGUUGUCUCAGACUUACAUUUUUAUUUUAAAAUUAUCAUACAGUAAAAUUGACUUUUUUUUCUUUUAUGCACAAUUAUAUCCAUUUUGACAGACAUAUAGAUCCGUAGGGAUGGCCUCCCCCACUCUUAACCCCUGGCGAGCACUCAUCCAUUCUGUCACUGGAGGUUUGUGUCUUCAGUCAUGACAUACAAAUGGAAUCAUACAGCUCAUAACCCUUUGAGGUUGUCUUCAUUCACUCAACAUAAUGCCCACGCUGUGUGUGUCGUUUAUUCCUUUUUAUGGCUGAGUUGUAUUCCAUUGUAUGAAGGUACCACACUGCAGUUAUUCAUUUGCCUGUUGAUGGAUGUUUGGGUUGUUUCCAGUUUGGGGCAAUCGUGACUAGAAGUGCUAUGAACAUUCAUGAACAGUUUUUUUGUGGGAACACACAUUUUUACGUCUCUAAGGUAAGUGGGAUAUCCCAGGAGUGGAAUAGUUGAGUCAUUGGUAGGGGUAUGUUUAACUUUAUACGAACCUGCAAAACUGCUUUCUGGAGUAUAUGCCUUUUUUUUUUUUUAAAGCUUUCUGGGUGAUUCACAACCAGACUUGGAAACCCAAGGCUGUGUAUAGUCAUUUAUUUGUCAAUCUCCCCCACUGACUAUGAACUGCUCAGGGACAGAGACUUUGUGCAUGUGUGUGUGUUUAUUUUCAUAAUCUGAAACCCUGGUGGCACAGUGGUUAAGAGCUCUGGCUGUUAACCAAAAGGUUGGCAGUUCAAAUCCACUAGCUAGUCCUUGAAAACUCUAUGGGGCAGUUCUACUCUGUCAAAAUUGACUAGACAGCAACAGGUUUUCCUUCCCAAAGCCUAGCAUAGUCCCAGCAUCUAGGUGAAUAAAUGAGAAAGGUUAUAGCCCUCCUUGGGGCGGGGGGAGUGGUGAUAAAUAACGAGAUGUGUUAGUCCGCCUGCCCCUCAGCCCAGCUUCCCUGACGUGCAAGACAGGCUGUCAUUAACAUCCCCCUCCUCCAUGUAAGAAAAUAAUUUUCUGUGUUGACUUCAUUAUCAAUAGUAAUCAUUAAUUUCUUCAUUUUUUUCUUAGCCUUAAAACGAAUAGCAGCUAACAGUAAUAUACCCCCAUUAAAAAAAAAAAAAAAAA